rnacentral:rRNA from 1 species
GACGAACGCUGGCGGCGUGCUUAACACAUGCAAGUCGAACGGAAAGGCCCUGCUUUUGUGGGGUGCUCGAGUGGCGAACGGGUGAGUAACACGUGAGUAACCUGCCCUUGACUUUGGGAUAACUUCAGGAAACUGGGGCUAAUACCGGAUAGGAGCUCCUGCUGCAUGGUGGGGGUUGGAAGGUUUCGGCGGUUGGGGAUGGACUCGAGGCUUAUCAGCUUGUUGGUGGGGUAGUGGCUUACCAAGGCUUUGACGGGUAGCCGGCCUGAGAGGGUGACCGGCCACAUUGGGACUGAGAUACGGCCCAGACUCCUACGGGAGGCAGCAGUGGGGAAUAUUGCACAAUGGGCGGAAGCCUGAUGCAGCAACGCCGCGUGCGGGAUGACGGCCUUCGGGUUGUAAACCGCUUUCGCCUGUGACGAAGCGUGAGUGACGGUAAUGGGUAAAGAAGCACCGGCUAACUACGUG